GACGAACGCUGGCGGCGUGCUUAACACAUGCAAGUCGAACGGAAAGGCCCUGCUUUUGUGGGGUGCUCGAGUGGCGAACGGGUGAGUAACACGUGAGUAACCUGCCCUUGACUUUGGGAUAACUUCAGGAAACUGGGGCUAAUACCGGAUAGGAGCUCCUGCUGCAUGGUGGGGGUUGGAAAGUUUCGGCGGUUGGGGAUGGACUCGCGGCUUAUCAGCUUGUUGGUGGGGUAGUGGCUUACCAAGGCUUUGACGGGUCGCCGGCCUGAGAGGGUGACCGGCCACAUUGGGACUGAGAUACGGACCAGACGCCUACGGGAGGCAGCAGUGGGGAAUAUUGCACAAUGGGCGGAAGCCUGAUGCGGCAACGCCGCGUGCGGGAUGACGGCCUUCGGGUUGUGAACCGCUUUCGCCUGUGACGAAGCGUGAGUGACGGUAAUGGGUAAAGAAGCACCGGCUAACUACGUG
rnacentral:rRNA from 1 species